GACGAACGCUGGCGGCGUGCCUAACACAUGCAAGUCGAGCGAUGAAGUUUCUUUCGGGAAAUGGAUUAGCGGCGGACGGGUGAGUAACACGUGGGUAACCUGCCUCAUAGAGGGGAAUAGCCUCCCGAAAGGGAGAUUAAUACCGCAUAAUAUUACAGUUUCGCAUGAAACAGUAAUUAAAGGAGUAAUCCGCUAUGAGAUGGACCCGCGGCGCAUUAGCUAGUUGGUGAGGUAACGGCUCACCAAGGAGACGAUGCGUAGCCGACCUGAGAGGGUGAUCGGCCACAUUGGGACUGAGACACGGCCCAGACUCAUACGGGAGGCAGCAGUGGGGAAUAUUGCACAAUGGGGGAAACCCUGAUGCAGCAACGCCGCGUGAGUGAUGACGGUCUUCGGAUUGUAAAGCUCUGUCUUUGGGGACGAUAAUGACGGUACCCAAGGAGGAAGCCACGUCUAACUACGUGCCAGCCGCCGCGGUAAAAC
rnacentral:rRNA from 1 species